rnacentral:sRNA from 1 species
CUUCUGCCAACUGAGGGCAUAUAAAGUGGACAUGACAAUCUAUGCCACCAGCAGUUACAAUCAUGCCCUCCCCAGCAAUAACUUCUGUAUUGGCCUACAAUUAAAUUUUUAUCAUUAGUCUAUCAGCUAAAAAACACAACCUGUUACUACAAGCAGUAAGAAUCGCCCAAAGAAAAAGAGAUUACCCCCACAAACAUAUUUUCAUGUACACCAUUCAUACUAUCAGGGUUCCCUGCUUUCCCUAUUGCAACAACAAAACCUCCUUUAAUACCAAUAUCUGCCUUAUAAAUUCCAGUAUAGUCAAUGAUAACAGCAUUGGUAAUAACUGUAUCUAAGCAGGCUAAGCAUGGAUAGCCUGUAGCCUGUCCCAUUCCAUCACGUAG